rnacentral:rRNA from 1 species
UGCCUUUUAAAUGAAGGCCUGUAUGAAUGGCACGACGAGGGCUUAACUGUCUCCUCCCCCCAGUCAAUGAAAUUGAUCCCCCCGUGCAGAAGCGGGGAUAGCAACAUAAGACGAGAAGACCCUGUGGAGCUUUAGACUGCAAACAGACCAUGUCAACGAUAACAAACAAGAAAAUUAAACAAAUUGGCCACUGUUUCUUUGUCUUUGGUUGGGGCGACCGCGGGAUACUGAAAAACUCCCACGAGGACUGAGAACCCUGUUCUUAUAACCAAGAGCUUCUCCUCUAAGUAACAGAACAUCUGACCUUUAUGAUCCGGCCUGGCCGAUCAACGGACCGAGUUACCCCAGGGAUAACAGCGCAAUCCUCUUUUAGAGUCCAUAUCGACAAGAGGGUUUACGACCUCGAUGUUGGAUCAGGACAUCCUAAUGGUGCAGCCGCUAUUAAGGGUUUGUUUGUUCAACAAUUAAAGU